GCGGUCCCAGCAAACUGUUGACAUCAGCAUGGUGUGCCCACACAGGGCAAGGGUUCUGGAUCUGCUGCAGUGAGAGCCAGUGAAUUCCCAACAGGCUGUGGGAAAGAUGGUCCCUUCAGUCCUCUGCCUCAGUGCCACGGUGACAUCAUAUCCUCCAACCAAGAUCCCUCCCACUGAAGCCUGGGCCCUGCUCUCACCUGUCCAGAGAAGCACCCUUCUGCAGCCUCCUCCAGCACAUGAAGGCCUUCCUGAAAGAAGUCUCAGUAUGCCAGACACCUGUGGGAACAGGAUUGGGCACCUUUUCAGACCAGCUUGCUUCCUGUGAGGCAAAGGCCCAGAAGCCCCAAGUAGAGAUGCCAAGAGCAUUGGGAGUCUGUGUUGUUAAAUAAAGCUGUGACAAAAUUUG